rnacentral:rRNA from 1 species
UAGGGAAUCUUCCGCAAUGGGCGAAAGCCUGACGGAGCAACGCCGCGUGAGUGAUGAAGGUAUUCGGAUCGUAAAACUCUGUUAUUAGGGAAGAAUAAAUGUGUAAGUAACUAUGCACGUCUUGACGGUACCUAAUCAGAAAGCCACGGCUAACUACGUGCCAGCAGCCGCGGUAAUACGUAGGUGGCAAGCGUUAUCCGGAAUUAUUGGGCGUAAAGCGCGCGUAGGCGGUUUUUUAAGUCUGAUGUGAAAGCCCACGGCUCAACCGUGGAGGGUCAUUGGAAACUGGAAAACUUGAGUGCAGAAGAGGAAAGUGGAAUUCCAUGUGUAGCGGUGAAAUGCGCAGAGAUAUGGAGGAACACCAGUGGCGAAGGCGACUUUCUGGUCUGUAACUGACGCUGAUGUGCGAAAGCGUGGGGAGCGAACAGG